rnacentral:lncRNA from 1 species
GAGGGAAGACUUCAAAAAUGGCUGGAAGCAACGACCUAGUUCAAGCAUCUGUUCUUGGACGUUUUUUUUUCCUUAGAUCACUUCAAAAAUCUCUACACUAAUGCAAACGAACAUCUUUUUCUUUUGAAUUUUAUUUUGUUCAAAAUUAUUUUCUUACCAAAAAAAGCUGCAUCUCAUUGUAAAAAGCGAACAUCUUUUUCUUUUGAAUUUAAUUUAACAUUACACUUAAAAAAUGAUAAAGAUGAAAUAGUAUAUAUUAUUUGUAAUCAACGCAACUCCACAAAAAAAAUAACAAUGAAUAAAUAACAAGCUCACAAUCUAUGAAGCACAUGAGAACAAAUCCUUAUUCCUUUUUAGGUGAUUAUUUCAUAUAUAAAUGCAUGACUAAAACCUAAUUUUCUUAAGAACCCCAAUCAGAUCAAAUAAACAAACGUAACUUACAAGAUUCAAUCUCGUGAACAAAACUCACAACAUAAAUUGAGGCGUGAAGCUAAAAGAUGCAUGCUUGACCCCUCUCGUGCCAUUAUA